rnacentral:rRNA from 1 species
AUGACCUCGACUUUGCUGCCUUCUCAUCAGUGGGCCCACCUCCUGCCGGAGCUCCUAGGACGGAUCAUCGCCCACCUCCCUCGCCCCGACGACCGUGCCCGCUUCCGCGCAGUGUGCCGUCCAUGGCACCUCGCCGUGCGCCAGCAUAAUUGUCCACAACUGCCGUGGAUCAUCUACUCGGAUGGCACCUUUGUCACCUUCCCCGAUCAUGGUAUUCACCAUGGCCUAUCCUUUCCCGAUAACACAAGCUUCAUCGGCGUCUAUCACAACUGGCUCGCCUUUUAUUGCACUGUCAGCAAGAAACGUACCUAUCUCUUGCAUAACCCCUUCACCAAAUCAACAUUGCCGCUCCCGGGCCUCGACUCUGUCAUCAACGACACCUCUCAUUGGUUUGAGGUUCGGAAGAUACUCAUGCGGUCGCCCAAAGAUGAUAUCGUCGUGGUGACAACCAACAAUAGUAAUUACCCGAUCAUCUUAUGUCGCCCUGGGAAACCCGGCGCAUGGUGGCCUGGACGGGGAGAGAUGCCUUAUGCAUCUAUGUUUGAUGUCGUGUUCCACGGAGACAACCUAUGUGGGGUCACUAAGCACAAUGAUCUUGUUGUGAUGGAUAUCGGUGAAUAUGACGACGGAACCCCCACCGUUAAAAGUGUAAAGUAUGUUAUCGAACACCCACCGGUUGAUCAGGAGGAGGCACACGAGUAUGAAAGUGAUGGAGAAGUGUCUAGCAAUGAUGGUGUAGAAGAAUUGGAGUACAACGAGGGAUCAAGCAUUGACGAGGAGGAUGAAGAGUUGGGCGAGGCAUCGCUUGCCAAUGACGACUCUGGCGGCGAUAAGGUAACAAGGAACAAAUUGGCGAACACAGACAACAAUUUCAACAAGGAUGACCAUCAAGAGGUGUCGAGCAACGAGGACGGAGAAGAGGUGGAUGAUUAUGAUGAAGGGUUACGUAUUUUAGAUGACCCCGAGCCUGACAACACGAUACUAAACUCCUUGGAGUACCAGGUUUCGGACGGCACCGAGCAAAUCGGUUAUGUACCCAGAGAAGCAACAGAUGGCAUCGUGGCCAGUCGACAUCUCUUUGAGUCAAAGGGCAAGGUACUUAUGGUAAGGCGGCAACAAUAUGUGCCCGUCCUCUCUCGUGGCUACAAUAUGAAGGUUGAGGUCCUCGAAGCGGAUGUCAAAGCUGGCGUAUGGAUUCUGUUGACUGCCGGUGUGUCGGGCACAUUCUUUGUGAGCAAGCAUUACUCAAAACAUGUCUCAACGUUUGAAGAUGCAGGGAUGAAACUGAACUGUCACUUUGAAGAUGAGCACGACGUGGGUGUCAAUUUGAAUUCUGAACUAUUUACUCCAUGGGAGGGCAAGCCGACGUGGUUCUUCCCGCAAGAGCUGGUUGUAUGA